UGGCAGGAUCAACCAGGUAGCAUUCCUCCGUAGACCUCAAUGCUCCCCGCAAGCGGAACGCGGGACGGAGAAGUCCCCCGACCGCCAACGUGGGCACGAGGGUCACGCGAGCUGAAGCAGGGUCGCUUCGACACAUCGGGGUCUUGCGCUACGGAAGUCAACUAACGUAGCGAGAAUACCAUCGAAUCAACCGUACCCAAGGGCGUGACGAGAGCAUCCCAGCACCAUCACGAGAAGAAGCGCCAAGAAGGGGGCAACGGCUCGGAUGGACACGCAGACGCCGGCACGGUAUUGACCAACGCAAACGAGGCGGAGGACAAUCGAGGGAACCAAGACGGAGACAAGAAGCCAUCCGUUCGGAUCACGAUAUCAAGCACAGAAACCCACGAGCGGACGCUACCAGCCCAAGAAGGGACGAGGCGAUCCAAUAAAUGAAAGGGACAGACCAAAGCAGUUCGAUGCCGGGACCAUGGAGCCUGCUCUGGGAUCAUAUCCUAAAUGCCACUCAUGCGCCGUCCCAUCGCAAGACGAGGAGCGUCCAUCCCAACGACAGCGCCUCCCCGGGGGAAGGAGCCGUCGAAGGAACGAACCGCAACCCGCACAAGCCUG
rnacentral:misc_RNA from 1 species